rnacentral:rRNA from 1 species
ACGGAAGGCAGCAGUGGGGAAUAUUGCACAAUGGGGGAAACCCUGAUGCAGCGACGCCGCGUGAGUGAAGAAGUAUCUCGGUAUGUAAAGCUCUAUCAGCAGGGAAGAAAAUGACGGUACCUGACUAAGAAGCCCCGGCUAACUACGUGCCAGCAGCCGCGGUAAUACGUAGGGGGCAAGCGUUAUCCGGAUUUACUGGGUGUAAAGGGAGCGUAGACGGCGAUGCAAGUCUGAAGUGAAAGGCGGGGGCUCGACCCUUGGACUGCUUUGGAAACUGUAUUGCUAGAGUGCAGGAGAGGUAAGUGGAAUUCCUAGUGUAGCGGUGAAAUGCGUAGAUAUUAGGAGGAACACCAGUGGCGAAGGCGGCUUACUGGACUGUAACUGACGUUGAGGCUCGAAAGCGUGGGGAGCAAACAGGAUUAGAUACCCUGGUA